rnacentral:rRNA from 1 species
UGGGGAAUAUUGGACAAUGGGGGGAACCCUGAUCCAGCCAUGCCGCGUGUGUGAAGAAGGCCUUUUGGUUGUAAAGCACUUUAAGCGAGGAGGAGGCUACCUAGAUUAAUACUUUAGGAUAGUGGACGUUACUCGCAGAAUAAGCACCGGCUAACUCUGUGCCAGCAGCCGCGGUAAUACAGAGGGUGCGAGCGUUAAUCGGAUUUACUGGGCGUAAAGCGUGCGUAGGCGGCCAAUUAAGUCAAAUGUGAAAUCCCCGAGCUUAACUUGGGAAUUGCAUUCGAUACUGGUUGGCUAGAGUAUGGGAGAGGAUGGUAGAAUUCCAGGUGUAGCGGUGAAAUGCGUAGAGAUCUGGAGGAAUACCGAUGGCGAAGGCAGCCAUCUGGCCUAAUACUGACGCUGAGGUACGAAAGCAUGGGGAGCAAACAGG